rnacentral:rRNA from 1 species
CUACGGGUUGCAGCAGUCAAGAAUCUUCCACAAUGACCGAAAGGUUGAUGGAGCGACGCCGCGUGUAUGAUGAAGCCCCUCGGGGUGUAAAGUACUUUUAUGUGGGACGAAACAAUGACGGUACCACAAGAAUAAGGGGCUGCUAACUUCGUGCCAGCAGCAGCGGUAAUACGAGAGGCCCCUAGCGUUAUCCGGAUUUAUUGGGCGUAAAGGGUCCGUAGGCGGUUUACUACAUCUCCUGUUAAAUCCCAAGGCUUAACCUUGGAACCGCGGGAGAGAUGGAUAGACUAGAGGCCGGUAGAGGCAAGCGGAAUUGUUGGUGUAGGGGUUAAAUCCGUUAAUAUCAACAGGAACACCAAAUGCGAAGGCAGCUUGCUAGAACGAGCCUGACGCUCAGGGACGAAAGCGUGGGGAGCGAAUGGGAUUAGAUACCCUGGUAGUC